ACAAGCCUGCGUUGCACGUGAUAGACAUGUCGUAUUUUUGAGCCAAUACUAUACGACAGGGAUCCUUAUAUCCGGACUAAAAGAUCAUGCUUCUUCGCGGAGUAGAUCGGAUUUUCCGUGCGGGAACCCACCUGGUUAACCAGGUUCAAAAAUCCUUUUCUACACGGCAUCGCGGGCCUUUU
rnacentral:other from 1 species